rnacentral:rRNA from 1 species
CGCAUCUGUGCAUGCAGCAUAUCAAUAAGCGGAGGAAAAGAAACUAACAAGGAUUCCCUUAGUAACGGCGAGUGAAGCGGGAAGAGCUCAAAUUUGAAAUCUUCAAGGUUUUACCUUGACGAAUUGUAGUUUAAAGAAGUGUUUUCUGCUGAAGUUUUGGUAAAAGUUCUUUGGAAUAGGACAUCAUAGAGGGUGAGAAUCCCGUAUUUGACCAUUAUUUUCAGCUUUGUGAUUCACUUUCAAAGAGUCGGAUUGUUUGGGAAUGCAGUCCAAAAUGGGUGGUAAAUUUCAUCUAAAGCUAAAUAUUGGCGAGAGACCGAUAGCGAACAAGUACCGUGAGGGAAAGAUGAAAAGAACUUUGAAAAGAGAGUUAAACAGUACGUGAAAUUGUCAAAAGGGAAGCGUUUGACACCAGUGUUGUUUUCUCGAAAAUCAAUUAAAAAUGGCUCGAUUUUGUAUUGCUUGAGACCUUAAAAGCUCACUGUACAUUUUUCGUGUCUUUUUAAUGCACUUUUCGUUUAACAAGUCAACAUCAGUUUCUUUUGUUGUAAAAGGGUCAUUGGAAGGUGGCUUUCUUUUCGGAGAAAGUGUUUAUAGCCUUUGGCCUCUGCAAUCGGAGAGACUGAGGUCUGCAGCGUAGACUCUUCGGGGUUAGAUACAUUUGUGCUAAGUUAUAGCUUUUUAUAGACAACUUGUUGACUAUGAUUAGUCUUGUAGCUUACUCGCUUAUGCUAUUUUACCUACGCUUAGGAUGUUGAUAGUCACAGCGUGUAC